rnacentral:rRNA from 1 species
CAGUCGCCACGGGAAUACGGAGGAUCCGAGCGUUAUCCGGAAUUAUUGGGUUUAAAGGGUGCGUAGGCGGAUAGAUAAGUCAGUGGUGAAAGACGGUGGCUCAACCAUCGCAGUGCCGUUGAUACUGUUUAUCUUGAAUAUGGAUGAGGUAGGCGGAAUGUGGCAAGUAGCGGUGAAAUGCAUAGAUAUGCCACAGAACACCGAUUGCGAAGGCAGCUUACCAAGGCAAAAUUGACGCUGAGGCACGAAAGCGUGGGGAUCGAACAGGAUUAGAUACCCGUGUAGUCCCUGUCUCUUAUAC